GCUGAGUUGGGUAACACCAGCUUGUAACCCAAGUGGGGGCAUCAAGGUGAUAGAACAGCUUCAUGGCUUUGCUGGGUUGGAUUGAUGUGUGCAAUUUGGCUGGCUUGCCCACUCCAAGUUGAGAGUUGAGACAUGGAACUUAAGCUGAGGCAUAGGUUUCAUGACUCCUAGACUAGAGGGCAUAGCGUGAGGCUGGUUUCACAGAACAGCGACCACCUCUGGCUCCCAACAGUGGGGGGAUUACAGGCUGCUGCACUAUCAGUCCACAUAGCCUGGUGAGCUUAGUUGCCUGAACCAUCACCUUU
rfam:Lupinus angustifolius cultivar Tanjil contig_24599, whole genome shotgun sequence.